ensembl:rRNA 5S_rRNA 5S ribosomal RNA
GUCUACGACCAUACUAUCAUGAACACGCCCAAUCUCAUCUGAUCUCAGAAGCUAAGCAGGGUAGGGCCUGGUUAGUACCUGGAUGGGAGAACAUUCAUUUUACAAAGAACCUCAGACA